rnacentral:lncRNA from 1 species
GGCUGAUAUUUAGACUACAGUGUGGUUAGACCAGGGCUGAUGUUUAGACUACAGGUGAUUAGACCAGGGCUGAUGUUUAGGCUACAGUGGGUAUACCGAGCUGAUGUUAGACCAGGGCUGAUGUUUAGACCCAGUUGGUUAGACCCAGGGCUGAUGAUUUAG